rnacentral:rRNA from 1 species
AGUAACGCGUGAGGAACCUGCCUUCCAGAGGGGGACAACAGUUGGGAAACGAACUGCUAAUACCGCAUGAUGCGUUGGAGCCGCAUGACUCCGACGUCAAAGAUUUAUCGCUGGAAGAUGGCCUCGCGUCUGAUUAGCUAGUUGGUGAGGUAACGGCCCACCAAGGCGACGAUCAGUAGCCGGACUGAGAGGUUGGCCGGCCACAUUGGGACUGAGAUACGGCCCAGACUCCUACGGAAGGCAGCAG